AGGGUGUAAACGCUGCAGACUUGGUGUUGGAAGUCUUUUGGGGGCAUUCAGUGCCGGAGAGAAGUUGUUAAGUCUGCUACUUGGGGAGUACGUCCGCAAGGAUGAAACUUAAAGGAAUUGGCGGGGGGAGCACCGCAACGGGAGGAGCGUGCGGUUUAAUUGGAUUCAACACCGUAAAACUCACCAGGGAAGACUGUUACAUGAAAGCCGAGAUGAAGACUCUGCUAGAUUUUCAGAGAGGUGGUGCAUGGCGUCAGUGACU
rnacentral:rRNA from 1 species